CUCAGUUCGGAUUGGAGUCUGCAACCCGACUCCAUGAAGCUGGAUUCGCUAGUAAUCGCGCAUCAGCCAUGGCGCGGUGAAUACGUUCCCGGGCCUUGUACACACCGCCCGUCAAGCCAUGGGAGCCGGGGGUGCUUGAAGUGCGUCGCCGCAAGGCGCGCCCUAGAGCAAAACCGGUGACUGGGGCUAAGUCGUAACAAGGUACC
rnacentral:rRNA from 1 species